rnacentral:rRNA from 1 species
GGCCCACCAAGGCGACGAUCAGUAGGGGUUCUGAGAGGAAGGUCCCCCACAUUGGAACUGAGACACGGUCCAAACUCCUACGGGAGGCAGCAGUGAGGAAUAUUGGUCAAUGGGCGAGAGCCUGAACCAGCCAAGUAGCGUGCAGGAAGACGGCCCUAUGGGUUGUAAACUGCUUUUAUAGGGGAAUAAAGUGAGCCACGUGUGGUUUUUUGCAUGUACCCUAUGAAUAAGGACCGGCUAAUUCCGUGCCAGCAGCCGCGGUAAUACGGAAGGUCCGGGCGUUAUCCGGAUUUAUUGGGUUUAAAGGGAGCGUAGGCCGGAGAUUAAGCGUGUUGUGAAAUGUAGAUGCUCAACAUCUGCACUGCAGCGCGAACUGGUUUCCUUGAGUACGCAUAAAGUGGGCGGAAUUCGUGGUGUAGCGGUGAAAUGCUUAGAUAUCACGAAGAACUCCGAUUGCGAAGGCAGCUCACUGGGGCGCAACUGACGCUGAAGCUCGAAAGCGCGGGUAUCGAACAGGAUUAGAUACCCUGGUAGUCCGCGCGGUAAACGAUGGAUGCCCGCUGUUGGGCCAACUGGUUCAGCGGCCAAGCGAAAGCAUUAAGCAUCCCACCUGGGG